CGUGCGUGCAGGAAACAGAUCGGUUUGGUGGUGGCGGAAUCAUUGUAUGGGGCGGAAUUACCUACCAGGAACGCACAGAGCUCAAAAUCAUCGUUGGUAACCUAAAUGCAACAAGGUAUAGGGACGAAAUUCUGGCUCCAGUUGUUCUCCCGUUUCUCCGAAGACAUCGUUUUAACCACGUUUUUCAGCAGGACAACGCCCGUUGUCACGUGGCACACAUUUCGAUGACCUUUUUGGAGAAUAACCAUAUUCGUGUGUUGCCUUGGCCAGCAAUGUCUCCAGAUUUAUCACCAAUUGAACAUCUUUGGGACGAACUUGAACGACGUAUCAGAAAUAGCCAAAAUCCACCGGAAACGCUAGCCCAGCUCCGAACAGC
rnacentral:lncRNA from 1 species